rnacentral:lncRNA from 1 species
CUGCUCCUUCCAUGCCUCGCCCUGCCCACAGCCCCCACGGCUGCCUCCACGGGCAUGGGGUGAAGGGAUUACCCCAAAUUCUUCCUGCCCAUGGGCUGAGGGUCCCUCUCCCCAUGGCAAUGCCCCACAAAGGCACUGCAGCAGCUGCAGCCCCAUGGCCUCAGCCCCAGGAGCAGCCGGGCUCCCCCCCCCCGGUCCCCCCCUUUCUUCCUGUGCCCUCGCUGCUCCCUCCUCCCCUUCCCCCGUGUUUGUGUCUCUCCCCGAAUGAAAGGCUACCCUUUUCUCCUUGACAUCUUGUUAGAAUGUGAAUACGACAUCUAUUGAUUUGCAUUUCAUGCAAGGAAAGAAGAAAAAAAAAAAAAAAGUAGUUUAAAAAAAAAAAAAGGCUCUCUGAACUCAGAGCUACUGAAGGAGUAAACAGAAAACGCAGGCAGAGGCAGCUGAGCUGAGGACUCGGCUCUCAGCACCCAGCCCAGAGGAUGAAAUUUCAGCUGGGAUACCCCGUGGAGAACAAGGAUCUGCCAAAAAUUCCUGCGGCUCCACCGCUGUCCCCAGCCACGGUCCCCAGCAGGUCCCCAUCACCUCGUGCUGCUUCGGCUCCAGCCACGGCCGAGGCCAGGACAAUUCAAGGUUUCCUUGUUUCCUACAGGUGCCACCAGAGAAAUAACCCAUCCUGCCGGCCUGCCCGAGAGGCUCCUGCUCCCCAAAAUCCAGGUGGGCAAGGCAGAGAGCGGGGACACCCGAGAAACCCCAUGGCACGGCGGGGAUCGGCACCGGCACCACGGAUGAAGAUGGCAGAAUGGGGCCAGACGGACAGGGUACUAAUUCCCGUCACGAAUCAUUACCACAAGCACUGGAUGAGGCACCUCCAAAGGAGCAAGGAGCAGCGGCACGGCGAGGACAGGAACCCACAGCAGAUCCCAACACCGUGCCCAUCACCUCCCACAGCCAGCACGGAGCUGCUCACAUCCCCAAACCAUCAGCAUGUCCCCAGGGCAUGGGCACAUCCCCGACUGAGCACGUUUCACACCUUUCCACGACCCCAAUGAAGACUUUCAUGGGGUAAAGCCAUAUUCACAUUAGAUCAGGUGGCCCAGGACCACAUCACUCCUGGGUAUUUCCAAGGAUGGAGACUCCACAAUGCCCCUGAGCAUAGCUUUGAUCAAAAUGACUCAACUUCAGGGAAAAAAUUGAGGGAAAGAAUAAAAAAGCAGGAACAGUACA